rnacentral:lncRNA from 1 species
GUUCUACUCACAGAAGGAGGGCACAAGUUUGCUAUAGCUAUAACACACUGGAGUGUGGAGAUAUUAAGAAGUGAAUGGACAAAGAGAACACUGAAGACAAUGCGGAAUAUAGAGACAGUUAUUAAAAAGUAGACCAGACAAACAUAAUUUAUUGAGGGCAACUAUUCUGGUUUAGGAAAUCUUUGUGGUGCUGGGUAUUGCCUUUAGCUAGAGCAUACAUUCAGAUUAGCACUUUACCAUUCCUUGCAACGACAAUCCUUGUUGUGAGUUAACAUGUGCAAAAGCCAUAGCUCUAAACUACUGUUCACCUGAAAUUGAAACAGAGCUUUACUAAACAUAAAAUACCCCAAAUAAAUUUGAAAGAGAGUCAUGAAACAGCUGUCUUCAUCUUUGAAAUAUGAAAAUGUUAUCUUAGAGAGGAAAUGUACUUAACUUUAGUAUCCUUACUUCUGUUGCAUGUGAAGCUUACAUCAUUACUCCUUAUCUACCUCCCAUUUGGAUAUCAUAAUUCAUGCAAAUAAGAUAGUGUUUCCUCUUCCUGGGAGAUUCCUGUACUUGCUCCCUUAUGGCUGAGUUUUGAGAAGUCCUUCUUUCCCUUGGAGCUGUAUGGAGCUGCCUAUUUUGUAUGAAAUUGGUAUUUAACAUUCCAGGCAAUAUCCUCUAGAUUGUUUGAACUAAAAUUUCUCAGAAUGACACAGACCUGGAUGGCAUACAGCCUCUGUUCAUUGGGCCAAGGAUAAAUGAGAGUUUUAAGAAUGCAUAUGUGUGUGCAAUUCAACAGAUUGAUGCCUGAUGCAAGAACUCUAGAGGUUUCAGGGAAAAUUAUGUAUCACAGAAGAUUGGAAACUCUAAGGAUGGAGAAAAUGAUCAAGUGUACACUCUUUUCAUGGAUCCUAUAAGAGAAACUAGGUUUUUAAACCGUCCAUCCAAGUUAACCUAUCUUCCCUUGAUUUCCUCAGAAGACUAACUGCUGAAUUUAAAAGCUACUGGAAUUCUUGUUACAGCCAUUUUCAAUAAUUAUUUUCCCCAGGGUUUGCUUUGAUUCUAUGGGCUAUCCUGUACCUUGCCAAUAAAUUACUUUUGUUUGCUAAAGAGAUACUGAUC